rnacentral:rRNA from 1 species
ACGCACGCUGGCGGCAUGCCUAACACAUGCAAGUCGCACGAGACCUUCGGGUCUAGUGGCGCACGGGUGCGUAACGCGUGGGAACCUGCCCUUAGGUUCGGAAUAACUCCCCGAAAGGGGUGCUAAUACCGGAUAAUGUCUUCGGACCAAAGAUUUAUCGCCUUUGGAUGGGCCCGCGUUGGAUUAGCUAGUUGGUAGGGUAAAAGCCUACCAAGGCGACGAUCCAUAGCUGGUCUGAGAGGAUGAUCAGCCACACUGGGACUGAGACACGGCCCAGACUCCUACGGGGGGCAGCAGUGGGGAAUAUUGGACAAUGGGCGAAAGCCUGAUCCAGCAAUGCCGCGUGAGUGAUGAAGGCCUUAGGGUUGUAAAGCUCUUUUACCCGGGAUGAUAAUGACAGUACCGGGAGAAUAAGCGCCGGCUAACUCCGUG